UACGUAGGUGGCAAGCGUUGUCCGGAUUUAUUGGGUUUAAAGGGUGCGUAGGCGGCCUAUUAAGUCAGUGCUGAAAUAUCCCGGCUUAACCGGGAGGGUGGCAUUGAUACUGAUGGGCUUGAGUGGAGUCGAGGUAGGCGGAAUUGACGGUGUAGCGGUGAAAUGCUUAGAUAUCGUCAAGAACACCGAUAGUGUAGACAGCUUACUAGGCUCAGACUGACGCUGAGGCACGAAAGUGUGGGGAUCAAACAGG
rnacentral:rRNA from 1 species